AGAGUUUGAUCAUGGCUCAGGAUAAACGCUGGCGGCGUGCCUAACACAUGCAAGUCGAACGAUCCCGCAAGGGAGAGUGGCGGAAGGGUGAGUAACACGUGGGAAUCUACCUCCUCGCAGGGAACAACCUCUCGAAAGAGGGGCUAAUACCCAAAAGGGUCAGAAAUGAUCAGAGUCGAAAGGCGUGAGGAGAGGAGCCCGCGGCCCAUCAGCUAGUUGGUGAGGUAAUGGCUUACCAAGGCUACGACGGGUAGGGGAUCUGAGAGGAUGUCCCCCACACUGGAACUGAAACACGGUCCAGACGCCUACGGGUGGCAGCAGUGAGGAAUAUUGGACAAUGGGCGAAAGCCCGAUCCAGCAACGCCGCGUGGAGGAUGAAGGCCUUCGGGUCGUAAACUUCUUUAGAGGGAGACGAGAAAGGACGGUAUCCCUAGAAUAAGCGACGGCAAACUACGUG
rnacentral:rRNA from 1 species